UGGUGGAGUGAUUUGUCUGGUUAAUUCCGUUAACGAACGAGACCGCUGCCUGCUAUUUAGUCCUACUAGUAUUUUUUUACUUAGCAAGGACUUCUUAGAGGUACGUGCAUUCUAUCAGAUGCAGGAAGACAGCGGCAAUAACA
rnacentral:rRNA from 1 species